rnacentral:rRNA from 1 species
UCAAGCUAUAAAGAGCGCAAGGGGAAUGCCUUGGCAUCAGGAGCCGACGAAGGACGUGACAAGCUGCGAUAAGCUUCGGGGAGGAGCAAAUAUCCGUUGAUCCGGAGAUUUCCGAAUGGGGAAACCCACCAGAGCAAUACUUUGGUAUCGUGCGUUGAACAAAAUAGGCGUACGAGGGGAACGCCCUGAACUGAAACAUCUAAGUAGGGGCAGGAAAAGACAUCAACCGAGAUUCCGCAAGUAGUGGCGAGCGAACGCGGAGGAGGCCAAACCAGUGGAUUUAUUCACUGGGGUUAGGACUCGCAUCAAGAUCAGAGGUAUCUAACAGAACGGCAUGGGAAGGCCGGCCACAGAGGGUGAGAGCCCCGUAAGUGAAAGAGAAGACUGACAGCGAGGAUCCAGAGUACCGCGGGACACGUGAAACCCCGUGGGAAGACGGGUGGACCACCAUCCAAGCCUAAAUACUACCUGAUGACCGAUAGAGGAGCAGUACCGUGAGGGAAAGGUGAAAAGGACCCCGGGAGGGGAGUGAAAGAGAACCUGAAACCUUGUGCUUACAAGCACUCAAAGCACGUUAAAGUGUGAUGAGGUACUUUUUGUAGAACGGUCCGGCGAGUUAUAGUAACGAGCAAGGUUAAGCAAUUCAGUUGCGAAGCCGCAGCGAGAGCGAGUCUGAAUAGGGCGCAUGAAGUUCGUUGCCAUAGACCCGAAACCGGGUGACCUAACCAUGAGCAGGCUGAAGUGAGAGUAAAAUCUCAUGGAGGGCCGAACGCACGUUCGUUGCAAUGACCGGCGAUGACUUGUGGUUAGCGGAGAAAUUCCAAUCGAACUCGGAGAUAGCUGGUUCUCCCCGAAAUAGCUUUAGGGCUAGCGUUGAUUUAGAUUACCGGAGGUAAAGCACUGAAUGGGCUAGGGGGCGAUAAGCUUACUGAACCCUAUCAAACUCUGAAUGCCGGCUAAUUGAUGAUCAGCAGUCAGACAGUGUGAGAUAAGUUUCAUUGUCAAAAGGGAAACAGCCCAGACCUACAGCUAAGGUCCCAAAUGUAUGCUAAGUGGAAAACGAUGUGGAGUUGCAAAAACAACCAGGAUGUUGGCUUAGAAGCAGCCAUUCAUUAAAAGAGUUCGUAAUAGAUCACUGGUCGAGUGACUCUGCGCGGAAAAUAUAACGGGGCUAAGCAUGCAACCGAAGCUUAGGAUUGUCGAAAGACAGUGGUAGGGGAGCGUCGUGUACGGGGUGAAGUCUGAGCGGAAGCACAGGUGGACUGUACAGGAGUGAGAAUGCCGGAAUGAGUAGCGAGAAUUAUGUGGGAAUCAUAAUGGCCGAAAAUCUAAGGUUUCUUGGGGAAGGUUCGUCCGCCCAAGGUAAGCCGGGAGCUAAGGCGAGGCCGCAAGGCGUAGUCGAUGCACAUACGGUAGAAAUUCCGUAGCCACCGAACUUUAAACCAGAAGGACACUUGCAGAUAGCGGAACCCAGCCGUUGGUUGAGCUGGGCGAAAGGGACUGAAAUAUAGUAGGGAAGUCCGCGAUGCUGUGAGGCGAGAAAAGCUCUGGUGUAUACUAAGGUGCCCGUACCGCAAACCGACACAGGUAGAUGAGGAGAGAAUCCUAAGGCCAACGGGAGAAGGGUUGUUAAGGAACUCGGCAAAUUGACCCCGUAACUUCGGGAGAAGGGGUGCUCCAGAGAUGGAGCCGCAGAGAAUCGGCCCAAGCAACUGUUUACCAAAAACACAGGUUUGUGCUAAAUCGAAAGAUGACGUAUACGAGCUGACGCCUGCCCGGUGCUGGAAGGUUAAGAGGAGAUGUGCAAGCAUUGAAUCGAAGCCCCAGUGAACGGCGGCCGUAACUAUAACGGUCCUAAGGUAGCGAAAUUCCUUGUCAGGUAAG